rnacentral:rRNA from 1 species
GAUGAACGCUGGCGGCGUGCCUAAUACAUGCAAGUCGAACGCUUCACUUCGGUGAAGAGUGGCGAACGGGUGAGUAAUACAUAAGUAACCUGGCAUCUACAGGGGGAUAACUGAUGGAAACGUCAGCUAAGACCGCAUAGGUGUAGAGAUCGCAUGAACUCUAUAUGAAAAGCGCUACGGGACUGGUAGAUGAUGGACUUAUGGCGCAUUAGCUUGUUGGUAGGGUAACGGCCUACCAAGGCGACGAUGCGUAGCCGACCUGAGAGGGUGACCGGCCACACUGGGACUGAGACACGGCCCAGACUCCUACGGGAGGCAGCAGUAGGGAAUUUUCGGCAAUGGGGGAAACCCUGACCGAGCAACGCCGCGUGAAGGAAGAAGUAAUUCGUUAUGUAAACUUCUGUCAUAGAGGAAGAACGGUGGAUAUAGGGAAUGAUAUCCAAGUGACGGUACUCUAUAAGAAAGCCACGGCUAACUACGUG